GACGAACGCUGGCGGCGCGCUUAACACAUGCAAGUCGAGCGAUGAAACUUUAACAGAACCCUUCGGGGCGAAGAUAAAGUGGAUUAGCAGCGGACGGGUGAGUAACACGUGAGUAACCUGCCUUAGACAUUGGGAUAGCCUCGGGAAACCGGGAUUAAUACCAAAUAAAAUCAUAAUGACACAUGUCAUAACGAUCAAAACUCCGGUGGUCUAAGAUGGACUCGCGUCCCAUUAGCUAGUUGGUAGAGUAAAAGCCUACCAAGGCGACGAUGGGUAGCCGGGCUGAGGAGGUGAACGGCCACAGUGGAACUGAGAAACGGUCCAAAAUCCUACGGGAGGCAGCAGUGGGGAAUACUGCACAAUGGAGGGAAAUCUGAUGACGCGACGCCGCGUGAAAGAAGAAGGCUUUCGAGUCGUAAAGUUCUUUUAUAUGGGAAGAGAAUGACGGUACCAGAAGAAAAAGCCCCGGCUAACUACGUG
rnacentral:rRNA from 1 species